UACGGAGGGGACUAGCGUUGUCCGGAAUUACUGGGCGUAAAGCGCGUGUAGGCGGCUCGGCAAGUCGGGUGUGAAAGCCCUGGGCUUAACCUAGGAAGUGCACUCGAAACUGCCAAGCUUGAGUUCUGGAGAGGAAGGCGGAAUUCUCGGUGUAGAGGUGAAAUUCGUAGAUAUCGAGAGGAACACCGGUGGCGAAGGCGGCCUUCUGGACAGCAACUGACGCUGAGACGCGAAAGCGUGGGGAGCAACAGG
rnacentral:rRNA from 1 species